rnacentral:rRNA from 1 species
UACAGAGGUGGCAAGCGUUGUUCGGAAUUACUGGGCGUAAAGGGCGCGUAGGCGGUUCGUUAAGUCCUGUGUGAAAUCCCCCGGCUCAACUGGGGAACUGCACAGGAAACUAGCGGGCUUGAGUUCGGGAGAGGGAAGCGGAAUUCCGGGUGUAGCGGUGAAAUGCGUAGAUAUUAGGAAGAACACCGGUGGCGAAGGCGGCCCACUGGUCCGGUACUGACGCUGAGGUGCGAAAGCGUGGGGAGCAAACAGG